UACGUAGGGGGGCAAGCGUUGUCCGGAUUUAUUGGGCGUAAAGAGCGUGUAGGCGGCCAUUCAGGUCAGCUGUGAAAACUCGAGGCUCAACCUCGAGACGUCGGUUGAAACCGUUUGGCUAGAGUCCGGAAGAGGAGAGUGGAAUUCCCGGUGUAGCGGUGAAAUGCGCAGAUAUCGGGAAGAACACCCGGUGGCGAAGGCGGCUCUCUGGGACGGUACUGACGCGUGAGACGCGAAAGCGUGGGGAGCGAACGAGG
rnacentral:rRNA from 1 species